rnacentral:rRNA from 1 species
AGUGAACGCUGGCGGUAGGCCUAACACAUGCAAGUCGAACGGCAGCACAGUAAGAGCUUGCUCUUACGGGUGGCGAGUGGCGGACGGGUGAGGAAUACAUCGGAAUCUACUUUUUCGUGGGUGAGAACGUAGGGAAACUUACGCUAAUACCGCAUACGACCUACGGGUGAAAGCAGGGGAUCUUCGGACCUUGCGCGAUUGUAUGAGCCGAUGUCGGAUUAGCUAGUUGGGGGGGUAAAGGCCCACCAAGGCGACGAUCCGUAGCUGGUCUGAGAGGAUGAUCAGCCACACUGGAACUGAGACACGGUCCAGACUCCUACGGGAGGCAGCAGUGGGGAAUAUUGGACAAUGGGCGCAAGCCUGAUCCAGCCAUACCGCGUGGGUGAAGAAGGUCUUCGGGUUGUAAAGCCCUUUUGGUGGGAAAGAAAAGCAGCAGGUUAAUACCUUGCUGUUUUGACGGUACCCAAAGAAUAAGCACCGGCUAACUUCGUG